GACGUAGGGCGCGAGCGUUGUCCGGAUUUAUUGGGCGUAAAGAGCUCGUAGGCGGCUUGUCGCGUCGACUGUGAAAACCCGCGGCUCAACUGCGGGCUGGCAGUCGAUACGGGCAGGCUAGAGUUCGGUAGGGGAGACUGGAAUUCCUGGUGUAGCGGUGAAAUGCGCAGAUAUCAGGAGGAACACCGGUGGCGAAGGCGGGUCUCUGGGACGAUACUGACGCUGAGGAGCGAAAGCGUGGGGAGCGAACAGG
rnacentral:rRNA from 1 species